rnacentral:rRNA from 1 species
AUUGAACGCUAGCGGGAUGCCUUACACAUGCAAGUCGAACGGAGUGGCGAACGGGUGAGUAAUGUAUCGGAACGUGCCCAGUAGCGGGGGAUAACUACGCGAAAGCGUAGCUAAUACCGCAUACUAUUGGCGCGGCCGAUAUCGGAUGAGCUAGAUGGUGGGGUAACGGCUCACCAAGGCGCCGAUCCGUAGCUGGUUUGAGAGGACGACCAGCCACACUGGAAAUGAGCAACGGCCCAGACCCCUACGGGGUGCAGCAGGGGGGAAUUUUGGAUAAUGGGGGAAACCCGGAUCCAGCCAUCCCGCGUGUGCGAUGGAGGCCUGAGGGUUGUAAAGCACUUUUUGCAGGAAAGCGGUACCUGCAGAAUAAGCACCGGCUAACUACGUGCCAGCAGCCGCGGUAAUUC